CAGUGAUUUAACAAGAUAAUACGCUCGAUGAAUAUGGGUCACGGUGGACUAUCGUCGUGGUUGAAUUAACACUGCCAACCGCGAAAGAUCGUUAAAUUUCAUGUGUUCUGACUUUGGCGCCAGAAAUGAUCGGAAGCGC